GGAAUUUUGGACAAUGGGCGAAAGCCUGAUCCAGCAAUGCCGCGUGAGUGAAGAAGGCCUUCGGGUUGUAAAGCUCUUUUGUCAGGGAAGAAACGGUGGACUCUAAUACAGAUCACUAAUGACGGUACAUGAAGAAUAAGCAACGGCUAACUACGUGCCAGCAGCCGCGGUAAUAUGUAGGGUGCAAGCGUUAAUCGGAAUUACUGGGCGUAAAGCGUGCGCAGGCGGUUUGGUAAGACAGAUGUGAAAUCCCCGGGCUCAACCUGGGAAUUGCAUUUGUGACUGCCCGGCUAGAGUGUGUCAGAGGGGGGUAGAAUUCCACGUGUAGCAGUGAAAUGCGUAGAGAUGUGGAGGAAUACCGAUGGCGAAGGCAGCCCCCUGGGAUAACACUGACGCUCAUGCACGAAAGCGUGGGGAGCAAAC
rnacentral:rRNA from 1 species